UACGAAGGGGGCUAGCGUUACUCGGAUUGACUGGGCGUAAAGGGCUCGUAGGCGGUUUGUCGCGUCGGGAGUGAAAAUCCAGGGCUUAACUCUGGACUGGCUUUCGAUACGGGCAGACUAGAGGUAUGCAGGGGAGAACGGAAUUCCUGGUGUAGCGGUGAAAUGCGCAGAUAUCAGGAGGAACACCGGUGGCGAAGGCGGUUCUCUGGGCAUUACCUGACGCUGAGGAGCGAAAGUGUGGGGAGCGAACAGG
rnacentral:rRNA from 1 species